rnacentral:rRNA from 1 species
GUGGGGAAUCUUGCGCAAUGGGCGAAAGCCUGACGCAGCCAUGCCGCGUGAAUGAUGAAGGUCUUAGGAUUGUAAAAUUCUUUCACCGGGGACGAUAAUGACGGUACCCGGAGAAGAAGCUCCGGCUAACUUCGUGCCAGCAGCCGCGGUAAUACGAAGGGGGCUAGCGUUGCUCGGAAUUACUGGGCGUAAAGGGCGCGUAGGCGGACAGCUUAGUCAGAGGUGAAAGCCAAGGGCUCAACCUUGGAAUUGCCUUUGAUACUGGCUGUCUUGAGUUUGGGAGAGGUGAGUGGAACUCCGAGUGUAGAGGUGAAAUUCGUAGAUAUUCGGAAGAACACCAGUGGCGAAGGCGACUCACUGGCCCAAUACUGACGCUGAGGCGCGAAAGCGUGGGGAGCAAACAGGAUUAGAAACCCCUGUAGUCC